rnacentral:tRNA from 1 species
ACUUAGGUUAACAUUCUAAACCAAGAGCCUUCAAAGCUCAAAACAGCGGUGAAAACCCCCUAGUCUCUGAAG